rnacentral:rRNA from 1 species
UACGUAGGCAGCAAGCGUUGUUCGGAGUUACUGGGCGUAAAGAGUGCGUAGGCGGUGCUCUAAGUUUGGUGUGAAAUCUCCCGCUUAACUGGGAGGGUGCGCCGAAAACUGGAGUGCUUGAGUGUGGGAGAGGCAAGCGGAAUUCCUGGUGUAGCGGUGAAAUGCGUAGAUAUCAGGAAGAACACCAAUGGCGAAGGCAGCUCUCUGGGACGGUACUGACGCUGAGACGCGAAAAGCGUGGGGGAGCGAAACAGG